rnacentral:misc_RNA from 1 species
GUUCUAGAUCUUCUUUUUGGCCCUUGUCAUUUGCAUUUCCUUCCACAACGCCAGUUUCUUUUCCUGCAAAGUGGAGCCAGAAUGAAUAAAAUUUUAUAUAAAGAAAAAGACAAGUUAUCCCAUUUCUCGUAUUUCCUUAUGAUUUCCAGUAUAAUAUAAUCUUUACCGAUUCAUGAUCUCUUAUAUUACUAAGCCCAAAUAUUUUCUGUAAUUUGGGAGUUAGAAUUUCAAGGAAUUUCAAGGAGUGAUGUACCAGCUUUCUGCUGCUUCUUUUUCCAAACAUACGAGACUAUAGUUAGCACUAGGAACAGAACCCCUGUAGAUAAUGCAGAGCUUACAAUGAUCCUCAUUUAUUUUUUCACAUUGAAUUUACUCUCAUUCCUCAUGUCAUCGUCAUGGUCUAUACAUAAGGCAGUCAAAAGCAGAAAAACUGGGAGUUAGAAAUCAAUGACAGGUUUGCUUUCUAAAUUCCGAUUCAAUGUCUAGUCUCUAGAAAAAAGCCUAAUAGUGCUGGAUCCCUCCACCACAGCUGCCAAAUUCAUUUUAAAUGUUAACGAGAUUGUUGGUCCACCAAAACCAAUGUCUUCCUCCUCUUCCUCCUCCUUUUCCACUUCAGACCAAACCACUGCCCAAAUCAUCAACUCUUCAAGCACCCAACUCAAUACACAAAGCAUUCAAUCAAUGGCUCUUACUUACCUCGAAAAUGUCGUUGAUUUUGCUUUAUUUUUACAUUUUAUAAACAAUGGAAAAUUUUUUAUUUUGAUAAAUAUUUUUAAUUAUUAAAAUAUAAAAUAAUAUUUUAUUCUUAGUUUACUUAUUUUAUUAAUUUUUUUUAUCAUUGUUAAAUUAGAUUUGUAAUUGGCCUGAAAUUAAGACAUAAGGGACUUAUUUGACCUUUGAAGUUUUACGGUUUAUUUAACUAUUUGAUAUUAGUUUAAGGGCUAAAAAAGACCUUUUGUUCAGAAGAAAAGUUUGAUUAGAUAACAAAAUAUAUUAUUUUCCCCUAAAAAAGAAAAAAGCACAAAAGUGGCAUUUUAUGAGAAGUAAUAUAUAUAUAUAUUGUAUUAUUAAAUUGCUUCCUAACGAAACCAAAAUUUCUAAAACAUAAUUUUUAAGAAACAAAAAGCAAGUUAAUUAAUAGGUAUCGGACUGUACAAAUAUAAGUUUUUUAGAUUUGGUAUAAAUGCCUCCACUAAAUUAAAAGUUUAAAACAAUGCAUACCAACUAGAGUCAUUUUUAGAUCUAUAAAAUCUCGAGUUUGAGU